rnacentral:rRNA from 1 species
AUGGAUACUUAUCUCAUGCAAAACAGGUAUUGCUUGCAAGAUGGUAUGGUAGAAGAAAUAGAGCCGGAAGACCACUUGCAAGGCACAAUUCGAGAACAGAUGCUCUAUAACAGAAGAACCCUAAAAGAAAUAACUGAAAUUACAUAUGAAUCUGAAAAAUGGGAAGAGUUCUAUACUGCAGAAGCAAUGAUUAAGUUAAUUAAUACAUCAGAUGAGUGGUACUACAUAGGAUGCCGCAGAUGCAACAAAAAAGUACAGAAACAAGGGAACCACUUCUACUCUCCGAAAUGUGAAAAAGAACCUGAGAAGAUAUGUCCAAGGUACAAACAGAAACUCGAGAUAUGUGAUAUGAGUGCAACAACAACUUGCACCAUGUUUGAGGCAGAAGCAAAAAAAUUGAUUAAGCAAUCUGCAAGUUUUUUGAUAGAGAGGGAUGAUGUGAUAUCCAUGAGCAAACAAAACAAAUCCAGAAAAUAUGUGGGCAGAGAUUGA